CUUCACGUGAAACCCUCCAUUCACGUGAACCUGAAAAAUUGCUCAAGUCCCUUUGUCCCAGCCGCCACCAGUCGCCGGACACCUACAACCGUCGGACCACCGUCGACCUCCCCUUCUGACCGCCGCAGCACCACCGCAGCGUCGCCGCCCAACCUACAUCGUUGCGCCGCAGCGUUCUUCGCCCACACCAACGUCCUCCUUGUUCUCCCACUUGCUCGCCGGAACUCCUCUUCGAUCUUCCUAUCCCGCAAGCACGAGUCAGUCGCAGCCACCACCUCUGCACCACCAGCUUGCGGUGUUUGUUGCCGCCGUCUCUGACCGCCGGCUAGCCACCCCUUUUGUCUCUCUUUUUGGCGGAGAAUUCUCUUUAGGCGACUUUUGGAAGUGUUAAAGUGGCCUAUUAUUUGUUUACACAAGUCUCUAAGGAUCAAUAAGCAUUGUCCAUCUGCAGGUUUGAAGAUGUUGCAUCAUUGGGAUCGGGAAUAGAGAGCUUGUAUUUAGUUUUGAUUUGCUAAGUUGACUUGGGUUUGUUUAAUUGGACUUUAAACUUGUUAGUUGACCUUAUUUUCGUUGAUUGGUUUUGGGAUUAACUAUGUAAUCGAUUAUUUAUAAACCUAAAGUUAGUUUUAUGUUUUC